rnacentral:lncRNA from 1 species
GGAAAGUCCCAGAGGGCAUCACUUCAGACCUGCUGGACCCGCAGCGGGAGUGGGUGCAAGGCCAGCUCCUCCCUGUCUCCCAGCGUGGCCUCUGCUCUGCUGGCUUUGUCCCCAGCUUCCUCACAUGGCUCAAACCCUCUAGGGACCCCUGAUGUCCUCCAGGGAGCCAGCAUGGCUGCAGCACCCUCCUCCCCACCGUCCAGGUGCAGCCCGAGGAGAAAGAGCAGUCUCCUCCAAAGUGCUCCAGAGCUAACGUCCAACCUGUGAGACGAGCUGGGGUCACACGCUCAUCCCUGAACCAACCCUGGCAGAGGCAGCUGGGUGGGCUCAGCCUGGGCCACAUGCCUCCCUCUGAGUCUUGGGCCACCCGUCUGUGUGGGCAGCAUGGGGUUCCAACAAGCCUGGCUGAGGCAGGGUCAGGAGGACAAGGGAAUGGCAGAGAGAACCUCUUCAGCAACCCUCUGGAGUCCACUUGAAGAUGCCCCCUUUCCUGUUGGCCUGUGGCCCAUACAGGCAGGCGCAGGACCACAUGGGGUGGGCCCUGCACCUGGAGGGGUGCUGCCCAUGUGCAGCUCCAGGGCCUGGACUCAGCCUCAGAGACUUAUCCAGGGUAAGGCUUACCCUGCAAACCCUGACUUCCCCCCAGGAAACUCAAGUGGAGGUCAGCAGAGGCCCUUUAAGAAAGCAGUCAGAGUUGGCUGGACUGUAGCAGGACGAGUCUGGAAGUGGCAGGGAGAGAGCCUGGCUCUGGAGACAAGGACGGCAUAGGCACUGAUGGGUGCAGAAGAGCAGAGCAGGUGGCCAAGCACCGGGAGAGCCUGGAGGUGCUCACAGGUGGACGUGCGUCCCAGCGUAAUUACCGACAGCUCCGGGGGAGGGGCGGGAAGGGAGCCGUCCAAGCCCAAGCUGUGAGGGGGUGCUGUCAGCCUAGCCAGCGAUUUCUAGGUGGCUUCCACCUGGCCCUUGUCCUCCUGCCACUCAGAGCCUCCCGGCCGGGCAGAGAGCAAGCGCACAGCCCCGGAGCGCGUUCUUCCCCAUCUGGGGCGAUGUGAGG